rnacentral:ncRNA from 1 species
AAAACUUACCAAGUCCGAACAUAAGUGCGUAAGAGAGAUUAAUAACUCUUUCUCAAGUCUACGGAUGGUGGUGCGUGGCCGUUCUUAGCUCGUGGAGUGAUUUAUCUGAUUAGUUCCCAUAACGAACAAGACUCAAAUAUAUUAAAGACAUGCUCUCAGGAUUAUGCUGUUGCAGCUGCUCUCAAUAUUAGGCUGCUGUUACGUUCAUUUACGAGUCCAGCAAAAAUGUGUAGGUGUUUGUAAACGUGGAACCAUAGCCAUUGAUUUUGUCUAAUAUCGG